UGUCAAAACCAUAUCUGUCCGAUUGUCAAUGUCUCUGUUGAUUACUUCGUCUUAUAAAUUACAAAAUAUUAUUUUUGAGAUCUUUGAAAAGUUUCGCUAUGAGUCAUCCACAAAAAAAUCCGAAAUUGUCACACUCAGAUAACCAAAAUCAUAACGAAGAGCCGGUGGCAGGUCCAUCAAACGAGGAAUCUCCGCCGAAAAUAUUCAAAUUGAACAUCGAUUGCUUUGACGAGAUAUUUGAAUAUUUGAACGUGAAAGACUUGCAUUCAUUCGGUCUAACAUGUAAGCGUUUGAACAAAGUGGCCGGCGAAUACUUCAAACAAAAUUAUUCAUCGGCUGAUAAUAUAAUGUGGGACAAAGAUGGACUUUACAUGUGUGAUUGGGAUAAAGAUGACAUACAAGACCGUAUAUUUGGUUUUAAUAAGUUCAUUCCGUGUAUUUCAUAUUUUCAUGACGAUUUCAGCCGCUUUACAUAUACUAAAUCUCAUAUCAAUGAGUUUGAGUCAGUUAAUAAAAUUUAUCUAGCGGAAAUAGAUAUUUAUAACGAAA